rnacentral:rRNA from 1 species
UACGUAGGGGGCAAGCGUUGUCCGGAUUUAUUGGGCGUAAAGAGCGUGUAGGCGGCCAGGUAGGUCGGUUGUGAAAACUCGAGGCUCAACCUCGAGAUGUCGACCGAAACCAUCUGGCUAGAGUCCGGAAGAGGAGAAUUGGAAUUCCCGGGUGUAGCGGUGAAAUGCGCAGAUAUCGGGAAGAACACCCGUGGCGAAGGCGGUUC